rnacentral:rRNA from 1 species
GAUGAACGCUAGCGGCAGGCUUAAUACAUGCAAGUUGAGGGGCAGCAUGAUAUACGCGAGUAUAUUGAUGGCGACCGGCGGACGGGUGAGUAAUAGGUAGGAGACCUACCUCAUACAGGGGGAUAGCAUAGAGAAAUCUGUGGUAAUACCCCAUGAGGUUAUAUGAAUAGAGGCAUAUAAUCAAAGCAUAAGCGAUUAUGCGGUAUGAGAGGGGCCUACUGACCAUUAGCUAGUUGGUGAGGUAAGGGCUCACCAAGGCGAAGAUGGUUAGGGGUUUUGAGAGAGAGACCCCCCACAUUGGGACUGAGAGACGGUCCAGACUCCUACGGGAGGCAGCAGUAGGGAAUAUUGGGCAAUGGGCGAAAGCCUGACCCAGCCAUGCCGCGUGAAGGAAGACGGCCUUAUGGGUUGUAAACUUCUUUACUACGCGAAUAGAGGUUAGUACGAGAUACUAAUAGGAAGGUAGUGUAGUAAAAAGCACCGGCUAACUCCGUGCC